rnacentral:rRNA from 1 species
AUUGAACGCUGGCGGCAUGCCUUACACAUGCAAGUCGAACGGCAGCGCGUCCUUCGGGAUGGCGGCGAGUGGCGAACGGGUGAGUAAUACAUCGGAACGUGCCCGAGAGUGGGGGAUAACGCAGCGAAAGCUGUGCUAAUACCGCAUACGAUCUCAGGAUGAAAGCAGGGGACCGCAAGGCCUUGCGCUCACGGAGCGGCCGAUGUCAGAUUAGCUAGUUGGUGAGGUAAAGGCUCACCAAGGCGACGAUCUGUAGCGGGUCUGAGAGGAUGAUCCGCCACACUGGAACUGAGACACGGUCCAGACUCCUACGGGAGGCAGCAGUGGGGAAUUUUGGACAAUGGGGGCAACCCUGAUCCAGCCAUGCCGCGUGAGUGAAGAAGGCCUUCGGGUUGUAAAGCUCUUUCGGCCGGGAAGAAAUCGCAUGGGUUAAUACCCUGUGCGGAUGACGGUACCGGCAUAAGAAGCACCGGCUAACUACGUG